rnacentral:lncRNA from 1 species
AGUGGAUCCCAAAUACAAUUAUUCAAAGGAUGCAAAUGAUGUCAUCACAAUGGAUCCCAAAGACAAUUGGUCAAAAGAUGCAAAUGAUACACUACUGCUGCAGCUCACAAACACCUCUGCAUAUUACAUGUACCUCCUCCUGCUCCUCAAGAGUGUGGUCUAUUUUGCCAUCAUCACCUGCUGUCUGCUUAGAAGAACGGCUUUCUGCUGCAAUGGAGAGAAAUCAUAACAGACGGUGGCACAAGGAGGCCAUCUUUUCCUCAUCGGUUAUUGUCCCUAGAAGUGUCUUCUGAGGAUCUAGUUGGGCUUUCUUUCUGGGUUUGGGCCAUUUCAGUUCUCAUGUGUGUACUAUUCUAUCAUUAUUGUAUAAUGGUUUUCAAACCAGUGGGCACACAGAGAACCUCACUCUGUAAUAACAAUGAGGAAUAGCCACGGCGAUCUCCAGCACCAAUCUGUCCAUGUUUUCCACAGCUCCUCCAGCCAACCCAAAUAGCGCCUGCUAUAGUGUAGACAGUCUGCGGCUUCUAGCCUUGUCCCUCUCUUAGUGUUCUUUAAUCAGAUAACUGCCUGGAAGCCUCUCAUUUUACAUGCCCUGAAGCAGUCUUCUUUGCUAGUUGAAUUAUGUGGUGUGUUUUUCCGUAAUAAGCAAAAUAA